AUAACGCGUGCAGAGUGGAUUUGAACUUCCAGCCAGACCAGUGAAGUGGGUGAGUACAGUGGUCGGAAAAAUAAGCACGCUCACACUCCGCGGAUCAUUUGGAGUCUCCGGCAGUUUCAUUUGGAAAAGUUUUAAGAAAUCAACCCGAAACGAGCCAGCUGGACUUUGGAUACACUUCCAAGAUACUGUUGAGAUGAUUAAACACAUCCUUAUACUCCUGCUCUGUCUUGUGUGUCUGUGUUCACCCCGUCCUCAGCCAGGUAAGUUGAGUCUAGCAGGAUAUGAUGAUUUUGUAGCUGAAUCCAAACUUUGUAACCCGCCCUGGUGCUUUCUCUCUGACGUAGCUGUAAUUACGUGCCAGAUUUGCAGAUCCAAGACUGACAAAGUGGAAAAUUAUUAUACUCUCAACACAACACAAAUUCACUCUGCAUACACACGUAACCAGCAUUCCCUGGUUAAGUGUGUAUGCAGUCACACAUACACACACACACACACACACACUCUUUCACUUGUUUUUUUUUUUUCCAUUUUCUUCUUGCAGCUGAACGCUCCCACACUUUCUCAGAGCAGGUAUUAGUGCAAUACUUCUGCAGAUUCCACGGUUGUUUAUGCAGGUUAAAGAUAUAUUUCCAUAUAGAAUUUCAAUUCUCCAAAUGGAUUUAUAGUUGAACUCCACAGAAACUGGUUUCCUGCUUUGAACCAAACCCUGCUCAGGUGUAGCUGGUCACUACUCUUGCUUUGAGAUUGAUCUGCAGCUAUGUGUAUAUUGAGAUCAAUACAGCCAUUAGGCCAUGGGCAUAGACUUCUGGGUAUGACACAUGGGCCUGAGGGGUCUGGUACUUAGCUAUUGGCAGCAGAUCCUACUUUUCCUGAUUCUAUUUUGGGUCCUGAGAGCUAAGGAGUGGGUCGCUGUGGAUCAGUGUUUCAUUGGAUGGGAAGUGACGUUGAUUCACUGCAUUGGGCCUCUGCCUUGUAUUUUUGGAGCCAGACAUGAUCAUAUUUAGACAGGGUGGAGUACUAAGUUAUCAGCUAAUGUCAGCA
ensembl:lncRNA